rnacentral:lncRNA from 1 species
GUUUAGCUGCUUGGUACAGGUGCUGAGUUAGCAAAGGGUUCUAUUUCAGCAAGCUUGGCAAUUGCAUGGCUAGUACAAUAGAGGUGGCAGCCUAGAGAGUUCAAGGUGUAUACAGAAGAAUGACUUCAAAAUGAACCAUGGACUCUGAUCUGGGUAAGUUAGGAACUCAGGACUUCAACUGUGACCAGUUGUCUUACACUUGAUUUUAACUUCAUGUUAUAACACAAGGUCUGAAAACCCUAACACCAAUGGUAUAUAAAAAGCCAACAACUAGAACACCAUAGUUCACUCCAGUAUACAUAAAUGCUCCAUCAUGUUUUUGUAGCUGAAUUCCUGUCUAUGACUUCUUGGCCUUUAAGUUGAUGAUAUCAUCUUUGAUGAGAAGUGCACUUUUAAUGUUCAUAUCCAUGGAGACCAUUUUAUUGAUUGAUUUUUUGGACAAUUUAUUUAUUUUUUAAAUUAACAAAAUUUGUACAUAUUUAGUGUGCAAAAAAUGACAUAUUGAGGGCUGGGGAUGUGGCUCAAGCGGUAGCGCACUUGCCUGGCAUGCGUGCGGCCCGGGUUCGAUCCUCAGCACCACAUACAAACAAGGAUGUUGUGUCCUCCAAAAACUGAAAAAUAAAUAUUAAAAAAUUGUCUCUCUCUCUCUCUCUCUUUCUCUCUGUUGUGUCCGCCAAAAACUGAAAAAUAAAUAUUAAAAAAUUCUCUCUCUCUCUAAAAAAAAAAAAAAAUGACAUGUUGAAAUAUAUAUACAUUGUGGUUGGGUGUGGUAGUGCAAGCCUGUAAUCCAGAGACUGGAGAGGCUGAGGCUUGCAAGUUUGAGGCCAGUCUGGGCAAUUUAGAGAGGUCCUAAGCAAAAUAAAAAAUAAAAAGACCUGGGGAUGUAGCUCAGUGGUAAAGCAUCCCUGGGUUCAAUCUCUAGUACCAGAAAAAAAAUUUUAAAAAGUAAAAAGAAAUAUAUAUGCAUAUGAAAUGGCUAAAUUGAGUUAAUUAACAUGCAUUUCCUCAUGUAUUUAUUUUGUGUGUGUGUGGUGAGAACACUUAAAAUCUACUCUUAGUGAUUUUUAAGAAUGUACUAUAUUGUUGUUAACUAUAAUUACCAUGUUGUACAAUAGAUCUCUUGAACUUAUUCCUCCUAAGUAACUGAAAUUUUGUAACUUUAUCAAUACUUCCCCUAAAUCCUGCCCAGCCCCUGGAACCUCUAUUGUAACUAUUCUACUCUGCUUCUGUGAGUUUCAACUUUUUUAGAUUCUAUAUAUAUAUAUAAGAUAAUUUUACAUUUCUUUUUCAGUGGCUGGCUCAAUUCACAUUAACAUAAUGAUUUCUGAAUUCAUCCGUGUUUUAUUGAUCUAUUUUUAUAAAUAUCCCACAUUAUCUGAACAUGUGUUCUGCACUUGUAAGGAGCGUUGUUUAGACUUGACAAUUAGCAUGAAGUUGUUCACAUAUUUUCUACUUUAUUGACUUUUGAUGGCCUGAUAUAUCAGUUAUGGAGUAAACUGUGUUAAAACUUCCUAUAUUAAUUGUGACUUUGUCUGUUUUUUUUCUUUCCACAUUUUUUAAAUUGGUGAAAUAUAAUUGUACAUAAUGAUGUGAAUAUGUUGCUACAUAUUCAUACAUGCUCACAAUAUAACAAUAUAAUUUGGUCAACAUCACGCUCCAGCACUCCUCCUGCCUCCACCCACCACUUGGUCCCUUUUCUCUACUAUUCUCCCUUGAUUUUCUGAGAUUCCUCCCCCUCAACUUUAUUUUUCCUAUUCUUCUCUAGCUUCCACAUAUGAGAGAAAACAUACUCUUCGCCUUCUUAGUUUAAAUUAUUUUGCUUAACAUAAUGGUAUCAAGUUUUAUCCAUUUUCCCACAAAUGACAUAAUUUCAUUUUUCUUUAUGGCUGAAUACAAUUCCAUUGUAUAUAUACACUACAUUUUCUUUAUCCAUGCAUCCAUUGAUGGAAACUUAGGCUGAUUCCAUAGUUUGGGUAUUGUGACUUGUGCUGCUAUAAACUUGAGUAUGCAUGUAUCACUGUAGUAUGAUUACUUUAAUUCUUUAGAAUAAAUACUGAAGAGUGGUAUAGCUGGGGCAUAUAGUGAUUCCAUGCCUAGUCUUUGAGAAACCUCCAUAUUGAUUGAUUUUUAAUAAUUUUUUUCAGAAAUGUAUUCUAUAGAACUACCAUUAAUGAUGGACAUACUAAUUACCUUGAUCUGAAGAUUACUACAUGUUGAAGUAACAUAUUGAUAUUCUACACUGUACCCCACAAAUACAUACAAUUUAAAAUCUAUUUUGAAAAUUUGAAGGUAUCGGAGUAGAGUAAGUAUAACAGAACUUUCAGUGAUUUCAAGGUCUUCACUCAUCUCUAUUGCUACACUUGACUCCAACUUUUAGAUUUACU